rnacentral:rRNA from 1 species
GGAUCGCAGGCUGCAACCCGCCUGCGUGAAGUUGGAAUCGCUAGUAAUCGCGGAUCAGCAUGCCGCGGUGAAUACGUUCCCGGGCCUUGUACACACCGCCCGUCACACCAUGAGAGUCGGGAACACCCGAAGUCCGUAGCCUAACCGCAAGGGGGGCGCGGCCGAAGGUGGGUUCGAUAAUUGGGGUGAAGUCGUAACAAGGUACC